UACGUAGGGUUCGAGCGUUAAUCGGAAUUACUGGGCGUAAAGCGUGCGCAGGCGGUUUUGUAAGCCAGAUGUGAAAUCCCCGGGCUUAACCUGGGAAUGGCAUUUGGGACUGCAAGGCUGGAGUGUGGCAGAGGAGACUGGAAUUCCCGGUGUAGCAGUGAAAUGCGUAGAUAUCGGGAGGAAUACCGAUGGCGAAGGCAGGUCUCUGGGCUGACACUGACGCUGAGACGCGAAAGCGUGGGGAGCAAACAGG
rnacentral:rRNA from 1 species